UACGUAGGGGGCAAGCGUUGUCCGGAAUCAUUGGGCGUAAAGGGCGCGUAGGCGGCCAUUCAAGUCGGGGGUGAAAGCCUGUGGCUCAACCACAGAAUUGCCUUCGAUACUGUUUGGCUUGAGUUUGGUAGAGGUUGGUGGAACUGCGAGUGUAGAGGUGAAAUUCGUAGAUAUUCGCAAGAACACCAGUGGCGAAGGCGGCCAACUGGACCAAUACUGACGCUGAGGCGCGAAAGCGUGGGGAGCAAACAGG
rnacentral:rRNA from 1 species